UUUGUGUUUCCGGUCCAUAAGUUGGACUCUUCUGAAACUUUUCUAAUUAGUGCAAUAGCUGAUGAGAAUAGUGCGGACAAGGGACUCAGUAAUAACAAAGCCAAGUAAUGUAGUAGUUCAACUCGGUUUUUAUUUUUUGUAAUUUUCUUAUAUUUUGGUAACAAAGUGUAUCCUCUUGAAUAUGGAAGAGUUGUUUUGAUUAAUCGGAAAAGAGGUAUUUGUUCAGUUAUAACUAUGUUUGCAGACGUUUUAUGAGGCAAUAAUCUACACUACUUAAAAAGGAGGAAUGUGUUCCCUAUUCUGCCCACCUUCACACUAGGACCAAGUUUUGGUCGUCAACCCCGACUCCCGUUGCUGUGCAUUUUGAACUUUGGUCCCUUGCACAUUGGGAAAUUAAUCCACACAGCCCCCACCCCCGACGUUUUUCAUCGCUUUGCAGUUCUCUGGAUGCCGAGAGGCGAACAGAGCUAGGGUUUCGCUGCCUACCCCCAUCCGCCGCCAGCAAUCCCUUUCUCUUCCCCGGGCGGUAGCCACCGUUCUCCAUCGCUACACCACGUGCGCCGGCGCCACCACCCGACACCGUGGUCGUCUCCCGCAGAGACUGGGGCGAGGAGUCUCAGUAGUGUUAAGAGAUGGUUGGCUGGGAAAAGGAGAUAGCCACCAGUCUCGCAACUCACAUGUGAUGCCGCCUGCCGCCGCCUCGUAUGUUCCUCCCCUCAUGCUUCCCCUCCUCACACGCAACCUCGCCGCCGCCGCCGCUCCACCGGCCUCGCUCGUCUCCUCCCGGCACCCUUCCACCUCUUUCCCCGUCGCCCUCACCUCGUCUAUAUUGUGCCUCGCCGUCAUAGAGCGGGGAACUCGCCACCGACCUCCCAUGGUUGAAGGUCAAGCGGCUGAAGCGGCUGCGGGAGGGGGGUGAAGAGGACCAGGCUCCUUCCUAUUGGCGGCGGGGAGCAACAUAGCCAUCCGUGAGGCACCGGCCCUAGCAGGGAAACACCGCUUCUGUGAAGGCAAAGCAUUGACGCCGAUCUGGUUGUCGGAGAAUGGCUCCCUCCAUCACAGCGAUCACUUUUAUUGGGCGCCGACGCUGUUAUGAGUGGCAACAUCUGUCUUGCAUGUGUAGUCACGACUCACGAGGUGCAAGCAUGCAGCUGUGGCCAUAAGGGGAGCUCGGCUCCUCACUUACGUGGAGAUGCCUCAUCUGCAUCUCUGACCAUGUCUGACCCUGUAAGUCUUCAUUUGCCUAAUUAAUAUGUAGUCAUGUCUGUUAACCAUGCAAAUAUUAUCAUGCAUUCACAUUAGAAAUCAGAGGGUAUAAUUGUGCGUGAGGGGGAGACUACUUGUCUGGUUCAUUUGGCUUGCUGAAUGGCAAAUUUAAUCUCUACAACUCGUGUGAGAAUCAUGGCCUUCGCGCAUCCACAAUUGACUUCUUUCUUGAUUUGGUGAGGACGAUCUCAUUUGUUGCUUCCCAGAUUUCUUAAAACUCCAAAAGUUUGAGUUUUCAUCGAUUAUUGGUUCUUCUUUUGAGGAAUUAAUUUAAGGUCGAAAUGGUUUAUAAGAGACACCACAGUAGGAGGCACCUGGUAUGUUUACUCUUUUGUAGGUUCCCUGUCACACGAUUAUUUGGUAUGCUACAAAUAUGGUCGGCUGGUUUAGUUGAAUUAGCAGCGACAUUCAGUUUUUUGCUUGUACAGUUGCCACAAUUGCAGUAUAGCAGAACACUAAAAGAAUUAUAUUAUUUGAUAUAUUUUGUUCUGAUUCAUGUAGUAUUGCAAGACAAUAAACGAAAAGCUGAGUUUUACAUAUCCCCAACCAAUUUAACUUUCAGCAGACUAUAAUAUUUUUCCAGUGCAAGUUUACCAUGUCAUCCUAUUGCCCCUGAAAUUCAUGAUGGUUCUACUAUUUUGAAAUGUUUUCAUCUUGCUUCUGCAGGUUAUUGUUUCUUGCCAGAAUGCCAGUAGGAAACUCUGAAACUGAUGUAGUAGGACUGUCUUAUUCUCAACCGAGAGGAUAACUUCCUUUCAUGAGCUAGAAAUGAUUGUGACUUCCGAGUAUGCAUAUCUAAAGCUGACAUUUUAAUUGCAUGACAGGUUACUGCAACUAGCAAGGAAAGUGUCAUGUUCAUACUAUUUUGCUUUUUUUUGUGAUAAUUGCAGUAGGUUAUGUUCUUAUGAUGGUAAUUUUAGAUAACACGAAGAUUGAGAUAGUCCAUUGAUCUUUCAGUUACACACUAUAAAUUUAUAAACUGAAGUUACAUGCUAUUAUGUACUUGUAUCAUUGAAGUGUUUGUUUAGUCAGUGUAUAGGGACUGGAUGAUCCGACAAGGAGCAAAUAUAAACCUUUCUUAUGUGGUUCGUUGAUUCUUGUGAUCCCUUCUGAACUGCUGAUGGAGUUUUCUACCGCAGUUAAUACAUCUUCAAUGACUUCAGUACGACUUUCUGCACAGAGCCAUUUAUAAUGCCAUCUUCUGGGAAUGUUGACAUAUUCUGCUGUGAUAAUACUGGGACAUUCCAUCGAAUGAUAUGGACACCUUCAAAGAAAAUUAUGCGUACCAGGAACCCAUCAAGAAGGGAGUGUAGUUCAAUUCGGCAUCUACCUCUGCCUCUGAACCAUGGAGUGAAUUUGGCACCCACCUCCUUCUGAAGCAUCCAUCGGCUGAAAAAAGUGGUACACCAGAUGUGGCGGGGGAGGGUCAGUGCAAGAUGGAAAGACAUGAGGUUUUUCCUGUGAUGGUCUUAUGAAGUGUAUGGAAUUUUCAGUGACUUGGUGCCUGUGUUAUGAUUCUUUAUUUUAUGGUAGUCUUUAUCUGAUUUUAUUUUUGUUCAUUGAUUAUAAUGACCUAUGGGGGAUUGUUCAUGGACGUUCUGACUCCUUAGAGUUCAGGUCAUUUUGUGUACAAGAAGUUUAAUAAUUUGCAUCCUGCAGAUCAAAUGGUGACAUGUGAUCCUACCAUUCCGCACUGUAAGUCUGACACAAAUGGUUGAAGGUCAAACGUUCACAAUUGGUAUGUACUGCAUUCUAUGUAUUGAUGUAUAUGUUUCAAGUUCUAUUUCCAAACAAUUUCCCUUAUAUUCCUUUAAAGUAUGAUAUACUGGAAUUCUCAGUGGUUUGACUAUGAUUGACAAUGUGUCAUUUUUCAGAAGAUAAAACAUUGCUUUUUAAGGAAGUCUUUAUGUUUUGGUAAUUAAGCUUUAUAUUUAUAUGUAGUCCUAGACGUUUUUUUUACUUUUAUCUUAAGUAGAAAUGUAUGUGUCUUAAAAGUUCAGAUGAAGUUGACAUUCUCUUUGGAUUUUUUGCAGACCUAUUACUUAUAAUGGACAAAGCAGAGUGUGUUAGAUGGGAGAAUGGAUGGACUACUAUCAUUCGGAUGGCACCUGGGCGACACAGUUUGAGCAUAUUGUGCUGGUCACUAGGAUGGGCACAGAAAUAUUGACGGAGCCUUGAGUUUAUAUCAUGCGGAUUGUAGUAAAGAGUUUGCUGGGCCAUCUAUUUUCAGAAUGGGUUGUGCCAAGAGCUCUCUCAUGUUUCUCUGGCCAUUAGGCAUUAGUGCAUCAGUGUCGAGGUUGCUCGCAUAUGGGACUACUGCAGGACCUGUGAUGAUCAGACAGCAAUCAACCUCAAUCUUGUGUUGGUUGACGAUAAGGUGUUGUUCUCCUAUAUAUACUGUGUGGUGUUGUGAACCCUUCAGAGCAAGUUGAGUUCAGUAAUUUAUCCUUUUCUGGGACGGUUUAAAUUUGAUUUUUCGGUUUGAUUUUACCUCAUAUUAUGAUGCUUCAUCAACAUAUGUUUUGUCAACUUAUGUUGCACAUUAGAGUCUGUCAUACUGCCAAUUAUGUUGUGUUUCAGAUAACCAGGUGUUCUUCUGUUCUGAGUUUA